rnacentral:misc_RNA from 1 species
UCCGAUUUGUCACCGGCAGUCUCCUAUGAGUCCCCGGCAUUACCCGCUGGCAACUAAGGACAGGGGUUGCGCUCGUUGCGGCACUUAAGCCAACACCUCACGGCACGAGCUGACGACAGCCAUGCAGCACCUGUGCUAGCCCCUUACGGACACCGGCUUUCACCGGCUUUAACUAGCAUGUCAAGCCCAGGUAAGGUUCUUCGCGUUGCAUCGAAUUAAUCCACAUCAUCCACCGCUUGUGCGGGUCCCCGUCAAUUCCUUUGAGUUUUAAUCUUGCGACCGUACUCCCCAGGCGGAAUGCUUAAAGCGUUAGCUGCGCCACUGACAGGCAAGCCUGCCAACGGCUAGCAUUCAUCGUUUACGGCGUGGACUAC